GAUGAACGCUGGCGGCGUGCCUAAUACAUGCAAGUCGAGCGAUGCGGGGACGGGUGUGUAAAACGUGGAGAACCUCCUAUAAGACUGGGAUAAAUUCCGGAAACCGGAGCUAAACCGGAUACUUAUACAUUAAUCAGCUCUGGAUUAGCUAGUUGGUAACGUAACGGCUUCCCAAGGCAACGAUUCGUAGCCGACCUUAGAGGUUGAUGGGCCACACGGGAAUGGAGCCUCGCUCCAGACGCCUACGUGAGGCAGCAGUAGGGAAUCUUCCCCAAUGUGCGAAAGUCUGAUGGAGCAAUGCCGCGUGUAUGAUGAAGGUCUUCGGAUCGUAAACCGCUGUUAUUAGGGACGCGUUACCUAACCAGAAAGCCACGGCUAACUACGCGCCAGCAGCCGCGGCAAUAC
rnacentral:rRNA from 1 species